CAGCCGCCACGGUAAUACGUAGGUGGCAAGCGUUGUCCGGAAUUAUUGGGAGUAAAGGGCUCGCAGGCGGUUUCUUAAGUCUGAUGUGAAAGCCCCCGGCUCAACCGGGGAGGGUCAUUGGAAACUGGGAAACUUGAGUGCAGAAGAGGAGAGUGGAAUUCCACGUGUAGCGGUGAAAUGCGUAGAGAUGUGGAGGAACACCAGUGGCGAAGGCGACUCUCUGGUCUGUAACUGACGCUGAGGAGCGAAAGCGUGGGGAGCGAACAGGAUUAGAUACCCGCGUAGUCCCUGUCUCUUAUAC
rnacentral:rRNA from 1 species